rnacentral:tRNA from 1 species
GGGCAGCUAGCUCAGCGGUUAGAGCGUCCGUAUCACACGCGGAAGGCCAGGGGUUCAAAUCCUCUGCUGCCCA